rnacentral:misc_RNA from 1 species
UCCGGCUUAUCACCGGCAGUCCCCCUAGAGUGCCCAACUUAAUGAUGGCAACUAGGGGCGAGGGUUGCGCUCGUUGCGGGACUUAACCCAACAUCUCGCGACACGAGCUGACGACAGCCAUGCACCACCUGUGCAGGAACUCCGAAGAGGGCCCCUGGUUUCUCAGGGGUUUCUCCUGCAUGUCAAGCCUAGGUAAGGUUCUUCGCGUUGCGUCGAAUUAAACCACAUGCUCCGCUGCUUGUGCGGGCCCCCGUCAAUUCCUUUGAGUUUUAGCCUUGCGGCCGUACUCCCCAGGCGGGGCACUUAAUGCGUUAGCGGCGGCACGGGAGGAGUCGACACCUCCCACACCUAGUGCCCAUCGUUUACGGCGUGGACUAC